rfam:Papio anubis isolate 1X1155 chromosome 20, whole genome shotgun sequence.
CAUCCUCUCAGCCAGUCCUGUGCCCACUGCCUCCGCGCUGUCCUGGGAGGGAGGCAGAAGCAGGAUGACAACGAGGGCAA